UACGAAGGGGGCUAGCGUUGUUCGGAAUUACUGGGCGUAAAGCGCGCGCAGGCGGUCUUCCAAGUCAGUGGUGAAAGCCCGGAGCUCAACUCCGGAACUGCCAUUGAAACUGUUAGACUUGAGGACGAGAGAGGUGAGUGGAAUUCCCAGUGUAGAGGUGAAAUUCGUAGAUAUCGGGAGGAACACCAGUGGCGAAGGCGGCGACCUGGACGGACACUGACGCUGAGACGCGAAGGCUAGGGGAGCGAACGGG
rnacentral:rRNA from 1 species